AGGGAAUAUUGGACAAUGGGCGCAAGCCUGAUCCAGCCAUGCCGCGUGUGUGAAGAAGGCCUUCGGGUUGUAAAGCACUUUUAUCCGGAAAGAAAAGCGCUGGGUUAAUACCCUGGUGUCCUGACGGUACCGGGAGAAUAAGCACCGGCUAACUUCGUGCCAGCAGCCGCGGUAAUACGAAGGGUGCAAGCGUUACUCGGAAUUACUGGGCGUAAAGCGUGCGUAGGUGGUUUGUUAAGUCUGAUGUGAAAGCCCUGGGCUCAACCUGGGAAUUGCAUUGGAUACUGGCAGGCUAGAGUGCGGUAGAGGGUAGUGGAAUUCCCGGUGUAGCAGUGAAAUGCGUAGAGAUCGGGAGGAACAUCUGUGGCGAAGGCGACUACCUGGACCAGCACUGACACUGAGGCACGAAAGCGUGGGGAGCAAAC
rnacentral:rRNA from 1 species